CGCAGAAAGGUAUUGUGGUUGAGAAGUUGGUGGAAGAAACAACCAGCAAUGAUCAUCAUCUAAGACAUCUAAUUAGCAUUUGUGAAGCUCAAAGACAAGUUGGAGAAACUGCCCUAAAUGAUUCUAGCUCACGGUCACACCAAAUAAUAAGGCUGACAAUCGAGAGUACUCUGCGUGAAAUUUAUGG